rnacentral:rRNA from 1 species
UACAGAGGGUGCAAGCGUUGUUCGGAAUUAUUGGGCGUAAAGCGCGUGUAGGCGGCUCCGCAAGUUGGGUGUGAAAUCCCUCGGCUUAACCGAGGAAGUGCGCUCAAAACUACAGAGCUUGAGUACCGGAGAGGGUGGUGGAAUUCCCGGUGUAGAGGUGAAAUUCGUAGAGGUCCGGAAGAACACCGGUGGCGAAGGCGGCCUGCUGGGCAGUAGCUGACGCUGAGGAGCGAAAGCAUGGGGAGCGAACAGG